rnacentral:lncRNA from 1 species
UAACGGAUCCUUCAUCCCUUCUCUCCUUCCAAAUCGCAGGCUUCUCUUCUGUUCCUUCACCUUCUCUGUUCGCAGGCUUCUCUCUUCUCUCCUUCACCUUCUAUUCUCUGUAAUACCCCUUACCUUUCUCUGUAUCGCGGACCACCGCUGGAGCCUUUACUUGAAGCGGCGGAGUACUACCUCUCUCAGCGCAAGAGAGAGAAGAAGAGGAAGAAGAGGCGGUGGAGGCGACGAUGGUGGUGGAAGAAGAGAGAGAAGAAGAGGAAGAAGAGGCGGUGGAGGAGGCGGUGGUGGUGGAAGAAUAGAGAGAAGAAGAGGAGGUGGAGGUGGAGGUGGCGGUGGAAGAAGAGAGAAAAGAAGAGGCGGUGGAGGAGGUGGAGGCGCCGGUGGUGGUGGAAGAAGAGAGAGAAGAAGGAGGAAGAAUUGAUUUAAUGAAAUGAAAAAAUGUUUUAUUUUUAUUAGUUUUUGUUUUGUUUUAUUAUGUUUUUGUCAUUUUUAUAACAUUUUUAAAAAUGUUAAAAAUGAGUUAAAAAUAAAUUUUUAUUAUUAUUUUCA